UACGAAGGGGGCUAGCGUUGUUCGGAAUACUGGGCGUAAAGCGCGCGCAGGCGGUCUUCCAAGUCAGGGGUGAAAUCCUGGAGCUCAACUCCAGAACUGCCUUUGAUACUGAAGAUCUUGAGUUCGGGAGAGGUGAGUGGAACUGCGAGUGUAGAGGUGAAAUUCGUAGAUAUUCGCAAGAACACCAGUGGCGAAGGCGGCUUCCUGGUCCAGCACCGACGUCAGGCACGAAAGCGUGGGGAGCAAACAGG
rnacentral:rRNA from 1 species